AGGUGGAUUGUCUUUUUUUUGCUCAAGCUGUAAUUUUGUAAUGACAACAUUGUCCCAGCAUCCUCUGCAGAACUGUUUCAAUAGAUGCUUGUCAGUGUCUCUUGCUGGGAUUCCGCCCCGCUUCACAACUGUGCUCAGUGUCAGUUGCAGUCUUUGCAGGAAGGAAGACCCUCGCUCUCCGUGGUCCUGAAGAGUGUUUAGGAACUGAGCGAAGAGCUCUUCUCCAUCCUGGACAGUGGCAAAGGCUGAGUCGAGCACUUGGGUGAACAUGAUUGGUAAAGAGUUGGGCCCCAAGCUUUUAACAAGGUCGGCAGCUGGAGGGAGCAGGCUUUCUAGAAUGCGCCUUGUAACGUGCAGUGGCGACAAGGAAUCCUUCCAGAAAAUGUUCGUAGGCGCAGUGGGGACAAGGAUUGGAGGCUCAUGUCGUCCUUUCUCACAAUGUGCUCCACGACAACCCUCUGUACUUCUGGGGGAUUCAAGUCGUGUCCAGAAAGAGAAAUCAGCUGUCCUGGAUUGGCAGCUGUAUUGACUAGAGGAGGGUCUGCUGAUUGGCCAGUGGAAGAAUGACCCACCGACUGAGAAGUUGAUGGCAUCUGAGACACAAGGGUUGAACCUGACAUGGUCUGCCCCGUCUCCAGUACAUCAACUGUAGUCUCUUGUCUCUCCUCAUCUUCAUCAUCAUCAUCAUUUCCUCCGACUUCUGCCAGAUGUCCACUUAUUUGAUCCAUUACCUCUUUAAUAACUUCUUCAAAGGGUUUUCCACAUCGGUAAGCAAUGCGUUUGAGCUCAUGGAGGUAAUCAGUGGAAGGUACAGUGGGGGCAGGAAUGAUGGCAGUACUCCCCCCUGUGGCUGUGGCAUAAAGUUCAUCCGCAAGUAGUUUUAUUUCACAGACUAAACCAGACUUGCUCUGUGAUUCAAAUUUAUAUGGCAAAAGAGGCUUCAAUUUAUUCAAAGCUGCGUAUGUAUCAUAUUCAACAAUCAGGUUUUUGUAAAAAGAACUGUCAGAAUCUGUAACAGUAAAUGCCAUUUUUAAAUCCCCAUAAGUACGCAAAUAAUCAAUCAACUCAUCAUCUGCUUGAGUGUUAGUCACACCGGUAGCAAAAACACAAUGGGAAACCUCAACCCCUGUUUUUUCAAUGAAAUCCAUUUCAGACACUUCUGAUGCAAGUUUAGUCAAAAAAAAAAAAACAAUCUCAGUAAUUCACAAUGAAUAUUCACACAUCAGACUCCUGGCUAGCUCGCCAAAUGUAACGCUUGUUAAAGGCUAAUGACAAGGAACUGACUAUAUAGAUGUAGAAAGAUGUUACCAGAAGAGGGUUCGUUGAGGAGCCCGAGGUGUGAAUAAUCACAGAGACAAAAAUAAGGUUUAACUAGUUUUGUAUUAAAGUGGCCAAGACACACA